rnacentral:rRNA from 1 species
UAGAGUUUGAUCCUGGCUCAGGAUGAACGCUGGCGGUCGGCCUAACACAUGCAAGUCGAACGAAGUCUUCGGACUUAGUGGCGGACGGGUGAGUAACACGUGAGAACCUGCCCUCUGGAGGGGGACAACCGUUGGAAACGACGGCUAAUACCCCAUACGCCUUCGGGUGAAAGCUUUUGCGCCAGAGGAGGGGCUCGCGGUCGAUUAGCUAGUUGGUGGGGUAACGGCCUACCAAGGCAGCGAUCGAUAGCUGGUCUGAGAGGACGAGCAGCCACACUGGGACUGAGACACGGCCCAGACUCCUACGGGAGGCAGCAGUGGGGAAUUUUCCGCAAUGGGCGCAAGCCUGACGGAGCCAGACCGCGUGCGGGAAGACGGCCCUUGGGUUGUAAACCGCUUUUCUCAGGGAAGAAGUCAGUGACGGUACCUGAGGAAUCAGCCUCGGCUAACUCCGUGCCAGCAGCCGCGGUAAUACGGAGGAGGCAAGCGUUAUCCGGAAUUAUUGGGCGUAAAGCGUUCGCAGGCGGCUUGGCAAGUCUGCUGUCAAAGCCCGCGGCUCAACCGCGGAUCGGCAGUGGAAACUGUCAGGCUAGAGUGCGGUAGGGGUAGGGGGAAUUCCCAGUGUAGCGGUGAAAUGCGUAGAUAUUGGGAAGAACUUCCAAUGGCGAAAGCGCCCUACUGGACCGCAACUGACGCUCAUCGACCAAGCUAGGGGAGCGAAAGGGAUUAGAUACCCCUGUAGUCCUAGCUUAAACGAUGAACAGUUCGUCCAAAUUA